GUGUCAGCCGCCGCGGUAAAACGUAGGAGACAAACGUUAUCCGGAGUUACUGGGCGUAAAGGGCGUGUAGGCGGUCUGUUAAGUCUGGCGUGAAAGCUCUCGGCUAAACCGGGAGAGGUCGUUGGAUACUGGCAGACUAGAGGACGGUAGAGGCGUGUGGAAUUCCGGGUGUAGUGGUGAAAUGCGUAGAGAUCCGGAGGAACACCAGUGGCGAAGGCGACACGCUGGGCCGUACCUGACGCUAAAGCGCGACAGCAUGGGGAGCAAACGGGAUUAGAUACCCCCGUAGUCC
rnacentral:rRNA from 1 species